UAGGGAAUCUUCCACAAUGGGCGAAAGCCUGAUGGAGCAACGCCGCGUGUGUGACGAAGGGUUUCGGCUCGUAAAACACUGUUGUAAGAGAAGAAUGACAUUGAGAGUAACUGUUCAAUGUGUGACGGUAUCUUACCAGAAAGGAACGGCUAAAUACGUGUCAG
rnacentral:rRNA from 1 species